GGCGGCAUGCUUUACACAUGCAAGUCGAACGGCAGCAUGGUCUUCGGGCUGAUGGCGAGUGGCGAACGGGUGAGUAAUGCAUCGGAACGUACCGUGUAAUGGGGGACAACUGUCCGAAAGGAUAGCUAAUACCGCAUACGCCCUAUGGGGGAAAGCAGGGGACUCGCAAGAGCCUUGCGUUAUACGAGCGGCCGAUGUCCGAUUAGCUAGUUGGUGAGGUAAAGGCUCACCAAGGCGACGAUCGGUAGCGGGUCUGAGAGGACGAUCCGCCACACUGGAACUGAGACACGGUCCAGACUCCUACGGGAGGCAGCAGUGGGGAAUUUUGGACAAUGGGCGAAAGCCUGAUCCAGCAAUGCCGCGUGAGUGAAGAAGGCCCUUGGGUUGUAAAGCUCUUUCGGUCGGGAAGAAGGAAGUAUGGCUAAAAUCCAUACUGACAGACGGUACCGGCAUAAGAAGCACCGGCUAACUACGU
rnacentral:rRNA from 1 species